rnacentral:rRNA from 1 species
CAGAGGGUGCGAGCGUUAAUCGGAAUUACUGGGCGUAAAGCGCGCGUAGGCGGCUUUGCAAGUCGGGUGUGAAAUCCCCAGGCUUAACCUGGGAACUGCAUUCGAGACUGCAUUGCUAGAGUAUGGGAGAGGGAAGUGGAAUUUCCGGUGUAGCGGUGAAAUGCGUGGAUAUCGGAAGGAACAUCAGUGGCGAAAGCGACUUCCUGGACCAAUACUGACGCUCAUGUGCGAAAGCGUGGGGAGCAAACAGGAUUAGAUACCCUGGUAGUCCACGCCAUAAACGAUGAGAACUGGAUGUCGGGAGGGUCUGCCUCUCGGUGUCGUAGCUAACGCGUUAAGUUCUCCGCCUGGGGAGUACGGCCGCAAGGUUG